AUACGGAGGAUGCGAGCGUUAUCCGGAUUUAUUGGGUUUAAAGGGUGCGUAGGCGGGCUGUUAAGCGUGAGGUGAAAGCUCGGGGCUCAACCCCGGAACUGCCUCGCGAACUGGCGGUCUUGAAUGUCCGUGCCGAGGGAGGAAUGUGUGGGGUAGCGGUGAAAUGCAUAGAGAUCACACAGAACAUCGAUUGCGAAGGCAUCUCGCGAAUAGAUGAUUGACACUGAGGCACGAAAGCGUGGGGAUCAAACAGGGUUAGACACCCUGGUAGGCCACGCAGUAAACGAUGAAAACUAACCGCUGGUGCGUAAGUAUCAGUGCCCAAGCGAAAGCGAUAAGUUAUCCACCUGGGGAGUACGACCGCAAGGUUGAAACUCAAAUGAAUUGACGGGG
rnacentral:rRNA from 1 species